rnacentral:rRNA from 1 species
CCCUUAGAUGUUCUGGGCUGCACCCGUGCUACACUGGCAGGUUCAGCGAGCUUCAUGCCCUGAUCUGAAAGGAAUGGGAAAUCUUUUCAAAACCUGCCGUGCUUGGGAUAGAUGUUUGCAAUUAUUCAUCUUCAACGAGGACUGCCUUGUAAGCGCACGUCAUCAGCGUGCAUUGAAUACGACCCUGUAUUCUGUACACACCGCCCGUCGCUCCUACCGAUUGAAGUUUUCGGUGAGUUGACAGGAGGAUUUUUUUGAAACUGGUUCGCCAGUGGAUUUUAGAUCCAAAUGCCAACGAAUCGAUGGCUUUAGAGGAAGGAGAAGUCGUAACA